GCUGGUCGUGGUGGCACAUGCCUGUAGUCCCAGCUACUCAGGAUGCUGAGGUGGGAGGAUCGCUUGAGCCCAGGAGUUCUGGGCUGUAGUGCGCUAUGGUGAUCGGGUGUCCGCACUAAGUUCAGUAUCAAUAUGGUGACCUCCCAGGAGCAGGGGACCACCAGGUUGCCUAAGGAGGGGUGAACUGGCCCAGGUCAGAAAUGGAGCAAGUCAAAAAACUCCCGUGCUGACCACCAGUGGGAUCGUGUCAAUGAACAGCCACUGCACUCCAGCCUGGGCAAUAUAGCAAGACCCCAUCUCUG
ensembl:misc_RNA Metazoa_SRP Metazoan signal recognition particle RNA